UUUGUGAUAACAUCCAAUACAUCGUUGCAUAACUCCAUUGAAAUCCCAUGAUUAAUCACUUGAAAAAACCCAAAUUCUUCACAAGCUUUUGCUAUCCGUUGAACAAGUGCUUCAUUAUCUUCAUUCAUGUCGAUGAUCGAAAUCGAAUCUGAGUCAGGAUUGAUUGUGAAAGUUGGUUUGUUUUCAUCUGGGACGAUGAAUUUUGGUGUAAGUGAAAGAGGGUUCGCAUCAGUUUCCCAUUGAAAAGAAGUCAUAUUUAUCCAAUUUAAGAUUAGUAGGAAAACUAUGAAAAAAUGAAGAUCUAAACAAAUAAGGUUGUAAUAGCCUUAUUCUUAAGCAUGUUUUAUUAAAUGAUAACCUAUUGUAAUUAGCUUAAACUUUUAAAUAUAAAGAUAAUUAGUUCUUAUUGAUAUUCGUAACUAUGCUUUUUAAGAGUUUUAAACAAAAAGAGUGAAAUUACUUUUUCACCAUUGAGUUAUUUAUAAAGAAAAAAAAAAUGAAAACUCAUUUUAUCAUUCUUUCUUUCUCUCGUGACAUCUAAAGAUUUCUAGAGAAAUCUUAUUUCUUCCAAUAUCCUCAUAUAAAACCGUUAAGGCUAGAUUUAAAAAAAAAAAAAAAAAAAAACCAACCCAUUUACUCUUUCUUAUUCCUGCAUCUUUUUUUUUUCUCUUGAUCGGCAAAGCUCGGUGGUGGAGCACCGAUAGACGUCAGCGUUCAAUCCUCCGGUGUCUAUAUUCCUCUGUUUUCGCUCUUAUCUGCUUUGUUUCUUCAGCGCUACUGCUCCUCUCUCGUUGUUUCUAUGUGUUCACCGGCAAUUCUCGACCACCAGCACUGCUGGUGUUGUUGUGGCUGCUGCAUGUUGUUGUUGUCAUCGAUUCUUUUUGUUUUUGAUUUGAAGGAAACCCCAUUCAAUUUGAGCUAAAUUAUAUCAACGUAUGAAAUUUUGUUGGUGUAUUCUCUUCAUUCCUCCAAUUGGUAGUAUACAUAUUAAUGUUAGUAACUUUACUCCAUCGAUAGAUUCACACUGGUUUUAUGGUAUGAAUAUGACCAUAGUUCUUUUUCUUGUUUUUAGUUAAAUUACAAAAUUAGUUUAGGGUCAUUGAGAAUGAGAUGUUUUAUGAACCCAAUAAACUACUCAUCUUUGUUCUAAUUCUUACUUCAUAAGACUUAAAUUAGAUUUUAAUUUGUAUUGUUUUAACUAUUGAUAAUUGGAUUGACUUUUCAGCAUGAUAAACACAUUAUUAAAUUUCCAGUUUUUGAAAUUAAAACCCAACCACGUGUGGAGUGAUACUUCUUAUGAGUUUUUGUGAACUUUAUAACUAAUUUCUUAUUAUCUAAAGGAGUGGUUUAAUCACUGUAUUUCCUUGAUUUGCAUUGCCAAGAAACUCAUUUUUCUCAAAGGUUAGUUUCCUUAUGUUGUUUUUGGAAAUAAGGUGAGAAUUGUUGUUGAAUAAAACUGUUAUAUGAGGGAAUUGCUAUAAAUGGUCUCACUGGUGGUUGAGGAAGUUAGAUGGAGAUGAUCUUGAUUUAUGCUAGGAUGGUAAAAUUAGUUAGAUGAUCGUAUUGAUGGGACUCUGUUAAAUUAAAUAAUGUUGAGAAGGCUCGUUUAGAUUAGACUUUAUGUUGGAGGAAUAUUGAAAAUGAAUGUUAAUAAUUGUAAUUGUUCUUUGAGGUAUAAUUCAUUGUUGAACAAAGGGGCUAUUGGAAUUCGAUCGUGGAGUAAAGCGAUAAUUGGAGUUUGAGCAAGAGUUCAUUGUUAGUGAUCUUGCAGGUUCGUAUAUGGAAAGCUUGGAAUGGAGUAAAAGGAAGAAUUUAGGUAUCAAGGUUAUAAUUAGAUGUAAUGGUUCAGAGGUUGUAUUUAGGAUUAUUUAUCCUUAUUCGUGAAUAAAUUAUUAUAUUGCUUUGGAA